GAUUCAUCCCCCAAAUAUUUACACACACAAAGUGUGUGCGCCAAUCACACUUGAUCUACAAUCACAGUCCAAAAGUUAACAGAUCCACAAUUCAAAACCCUAGCUCACCUCCCCAAAUCAUGUGGAGAAGACUUUCUACGCAUCUCCGACCUCUCGCCGUCUCCCGAUCCGCGCCGCGACCUAAUCGCUCCGUCGCGCCCGGCGUUUCCUCCUCUACGCCGUCGUUUCGCCCCGCCGCUUCUAUUGUCUCUCGCUCUUUCACCGCUCCCGCAGGUAAUCUCUCUACAUCUAUCGUCUCUGUGUAUCUGUCUAUGUAUAUGUGUGUGUAUAUGACUUUUUAUGUUUAGGAGAUGGUGUUUCGAGUAAGAGAGUUGAAGAUGUAAUGCCGAUUGCUACUGGUCAUGAGCGUGAGGAGCUUGAAGCUCAGCUUCAAGUGAGUUUAAUCUCGCUUAUUUUUUUUCUCAAUUCUGUUAUUAUCUAAUUGACUUUUUUUUAAAAACAUUUAAUUCAACUUAUUUGAUCUUUUUGGUGAUAGGGACGAGAUAUUUUGGAUAUUAACUUUCCUGAAGGUCCAUUUGGCACAAAGGUUAGUGUUUUCGAUUUAUUUGUAUAUAAUUUAUGAUUAAUUAUUUAUUGAUUAAAUGGUUUUUAUUAUAUUCGAGAUUUUGUGUUGUUUUAUUUAGCUUGGGGUAAAGUGUGAUAGUAUGUAUCGGUGGUUAGGUAUCUUGUUUGUGUUAAAUUGCUGAUGCGCUCCUAAAAGUUUUAAUAUGUUUGUUUCAAAGUGCUGAUAUGUACACAAAUGUACUGCUUGAACAAGAUGUAUGUGUAUGAUGACCCGACUUUCAUGAUGAUGUAUGUGAGCAAACACAGACUUAGCUAAUGAAAUGAGAUAUACCGGUAUUUAGUGACUUAGUUCUGUGUGUACCAGAACACUUAUGAACUUCUGAUAUGCUUGCUUACAGUUUUGUGUAAUUUUAGAAGUGUGGUCACCAAUUACCUUGUUCAUAGGGGUUUCAUGCAGUAGCAACUUUUCCACCAUGCUUAUUUCGAUCAGAAGAAUGCAUACUUGUAAAGGUUUACAAGAACCAUAACAAUGUAAUUGACACCUCGUGGGGGUUAAAAUUUCUGCUUUAGAUGUAGAGUAUGUGUUACUGUAUGGGGCAGGGAUAUGUUGCUCACCAACAAGCUGCACACUAGGUUAGGCUGGUGCACCUCAUGGCUUCUUUUGGGUUGGGUUGGGGGGGGGGGGGGGGGUUUCUAUGCCUUAAUUUAAUAUUUUCACUUGUAAUUUAAAUAAUCUUAUAUCUAUUUAAAUUAUAUGGAUAUAAUUAAAUUAUAUAUAACUCUUGGUCUUGCUGUUAGUUGAACGAAUGGAUCGGAUCAACUUGGAAAAUGGGAAGAUUUGUACAAGUUAUUUGUACACAGUACAUAUGUAACCAUGCUUAUGAUUGUUGUGCUGGCAAUGCGGCUCCCCCUGAAGUUCAUUAUGCCCCUGGGUUGCAUUAUAAUUAUAGUCCGCGUCAAUUAUGCCUAGGAGUCUUGUAACUAUUAAAUUGAUAAAGGGGGCUUGUUGUUUAAUUGUUUCUGUUAAUGACAUGAAGAAACAUGUGGUUCAUGUCAGUUGCUGUUGGUCUUUAAACAUAGAUUGUUCGAUUGUAUGUAUCUGUGUUUAUUGCUCGUGCUACUUUAGAAAUUAGUUUGGUGUUAGUAGAAUCAUCUUAGCAGUAUUUAUGUGUAAGCCUCCAGUACUUGAUUAAUAUCUCAUGGCAAAAAAGUAGGAAGUUUUCUUUUUCGGAGUCGAAGUGUGAGUAUCAAAGUUCAAUUUUUCUACCAGUCUCUGCAAGGGGAAACAAGAUACAAAAAUUUAAACUGUUGAAAGAGUUUUCCUCUUAUAAAUUUGUUCAUAUUUGUAAACCAGUUCAGAUGUGGAAAACAAAUUGUACAUUGAACACUUGUAGAAAUUAUGUGUCACAAUUUCUCCAGUAUAUUGAUUUCAUCUAGACAUGCUUUAAAGUUCUUUUUGCUUGUAGGAAGCACCUGCUGUUGUUAAGUCCUACUAUGAUAAAAGAAUUGUUGGAUGCCCCGGAGUUGAUGGAGGUAAGCCAAGUAUCAUUUCUUGUGAUACAGAAAUCAUGAGCAGAUUCCCGCACUUCGGUUUUCUUGCAUUGUGUAUACUGUAUAGGCCUUAUAAGUUGGUGCUUUCAUUUUUAUAUUCUGAACAGAGGAUGAGCACGAUGUUGUUUGGUUCUGGCUAGAGAAAGGCAAGCCACACGAGUGUCCAGUAUGUUCACAGUACUUUGUGGUAAGUGUCUUAGUAAGUCAUGAUAUAGAAUAUAUAUUAUGAUUCUAGUGAGGCACGGAUAUAGAUUAUGAUUUUUAGUGAGGUACAGAAAGCAUAAUGUUUUUUUUUGGUAAACGAGCUAUGCAAGGUCACAGAAAUACCUGUUGUCUUAAUAGGAAAGUAGCCUCCCAGUCAGGCUACUGGGGACCAAAUUCUGGAUGAAAACCUACAGCCUGGAGUUUGCCUACAACAUAGCCUAGUAAAAGUCCAAGAACUGGAUCUAACCCAAAAGAAAUGGGCUUCUACUAGAAGCUAGCUAUCCAAUCUCAGCACUCCAUAUACAAUAUAACCUCGAUAAAUGAAUAUUUGAUACACCAAGAAUCUCGUCACUUGGAUAAUUUUUCUGGUUCUAACAUAAUAGAGGCAAUGUAUUUUUAACCUCAUGAGAUAAAAUUUUCCAGUCGCUAAUAUAUUCAUUUAUCGGGGUUUAACUGUAAGGUUUGGUUCAGUUGGUACGAACGGAAUGAAAUGAAAAAUUAUAAACAAAUUUAAUGGAGAAAGAAGAAUGAUUUAUAGAACAGUGAAUGAACAUGAUGUGAAGUAGAUUGUAGGGAAAUGAAGGAGAAUGUAGCCUUCCUGCCAAACAUGUCAGGUUAGGAUUCUAGUUUGUAUAGUUUGAAAUGGAAUGUAGGAAUUAAACUUAUAAAUAUUUGCCCCACUCUCACUUAAAUAAGAAGACAAAUCUCAUCUAUUCUUUCCUGAUUUUGUUCAAUCCAAGUGAAAACAACUUAAACGACAACCUGAAUUUGAGGUGCAUGCCAAAGCCCAUAUAGUAUAAUGUUGAUCUAAAUGACAGCCAGAGCUGGGGCAUGCCAUUCUUAUAUUAAAAUAUUAAAAUCAGUUUUCAGACGUCGGAUUGAUUGAGUUUAACCCGCAGUGUGUUGCUUAUCAGUUAAAUGAAGCUAUGCAUCUUAAUUCUUAUGCACCUCUUUUUAUUUUCACAGCUGGAAGUUGUUGGUCCAGGAGGACCACCAGAUGGUCAUGGCGAUGAUCAUCACUGAUUGCAGCUUCCAGUUCUACCGCUGGAAUAAAUUCUGGUGAGAUGAGGGUGAUCAGUGUAUUCUGUAGCUUAAGGAUUUAAAAGCUAUGCGAUUUAUUUUCUUUUUGAUGGGCUCUCAUAGUUGUUUUUUUGGCAAGUUUGGGAUAUAAUUUUUCUUUUUGAAUAUGGAUUUAUACGCAAGCCAGUCAUCUUUUGGACUUAUGGAUGCUGUAAUAGUUCCUCAAUGCAUCAUGAAAUAAUAGAUGGCGGAUUAGCUGGUUUUGUUUAUUGAAUUUUAUGUUCAGCAACGGAUGAAUUUCACCCUUUCUAUGUGUUAUCUAUUACCCUACAUUUUUCAUUUUUGUUAAGUUGUGGUUCUGGUCCAUGUCACCGGUACUUGUGCCAGCCUACCUAUAUUGUGGUGUAUGGACAAGUCCAGUGUUUUCUCAUAAUUAAAUAGGACUUGAAUUGUUUCAUUUGAGAAACUACAUAUCUAAUUUGACAUUUCCUUUGAAAAAAUUGGCUGCCAAAAAUUAUUACUUUGGACUUUGGUUGCCAAAAGCUGGAUUCUGAACAUAAUGUUUGGGCAACUGUGGGAAAAAACUGUUUUUUUUGUUGUUGCAAGUACUGGGAAAAUUAGUGCUAGUAAAAAUCAUUGGUAUUUCAUGUUGAAGCAGAACUGACCUUGGUGACGUUUGCUUUGGUUUUCUUGAAAAUAUUAUAUUGGUAUGGCUCUAAAGUCCAUGAAUCUCAUUGUUUUUAACAAUCCAACUGUACGAAUGCAAAAAUAAUACAAAACGAAGCAAAUGUACUUGUAACAUAAAUCAAAUAAUAAAAUUGUAUCAUUGAACUUGUAAAAAAAUAAUAAUCACUUUUUAAAAGUGAUAUUACAUUAGUAUAAAUAUAGAUGAAAUAACAAUCUGUAAUUGCGGUUGUAUUAUAUAAUGUGACCAAAUUCUAUUAUUACAAAUUAUCCAUACUAUGCUCUUCUUAGAGCAUAAUAAAUAUUGUUAUCUUAUUUUUUAAUAAAAAAUAAAUUUUGACCCAAAUUAGAAUCUGAAAAGUAUAGUAUUAUUUAAUAGAAAUUAUUGUUUUAUUGAAAUUUAAUCGUACUUCCUUCUCAUGGCUAACUUAUUAGCUAAUUGAUUUCUUAUUUGUCAUGGCACCCAGCCAACUUUCUUCUCUUCUAAGUUCUAUCCUUAGGCUUUAGCCCAUCAGUCAUUGGUGUUUCUUGUUAGUCUUCAUUGCAUCUGAUAAUAGAAGGAACAAUAUUUUCUUUUGUCCACACUUCAUCUAGCAUGAAACUCGAAAACAAUGUUUAGAUUUGUGUAUUUAAGCGAACAACUGUAGUUUAAUGGUUAGAAUUAGAAAAUAUGCAUUUUUUUAUAUAACCAAACACGCUUACGCACCAUGUCGAAGAUUAGGAAGAAACCCUCGAUAUCUCAUCGAAAAUCAAGAAAAAAUCCUCGACAUCUAGCAAAAGGAGUGAGAGAGAUAUCCGCGAAACAAGAGGCCAUUAAUGUAUAUACACUUCAUUUGUUUGUCAUGUCAAGGAUCUCCUGCGUUCAAACUAUCGUGACUUAAGAAACUCAUCAAACUAAUUCAACAUUUUCACUCUUUCACUCUUCAUAUUUGCAACAAUCAAACCGUCCUCCAUCUCUGCCGUUCCAAAAAAUAGUACUCCCUCCAUUUCAAAUUAUAUGUCCACUUUAAAAAAAAUACACAGUUUAAAAAAAGUGGAUUUUGAGAAAAAAGAGGUGUAAUAAGUCCUUAAUUGAACCCAAUUGUGUUGUAUGGUUGAUCUUGAAAUAUAAAUUUGAAAUACGUGGAGGAGAGUUGAUUUUGGAUAUAUAACUUUACAUUGAAAGUUGAAGUAGACAAUUAUUUUGAAACAAUUUUUUUUUUCUAAAGUGGACAUAUAUUUCUUAACGGAGGGAGUAUUUCACAUUAAAAAAAAUAGCGUAUUUCACUUACUCAUCAAUUACAUAGUAUUCAUAUUCUCAUCAAACAAAUCAGAAUCAAUUGAAAAAGAAAAAAUAAUUAUGCAGAUGGUUAUAUUGAGGGUAAAAUGGUAAUUUCGUAAAAAAUACUGCUACUAAUUUUUCUGGGGGCCUUGAGUGUUACAGGCACAGAUGAAGUAUAAUCAAUCCCCUCUUGUUCAAAGGUACUCGCUAAACCCUAAUUAUAGUUUCUUCUUAUCCUUGUCGAUAUAUACAUACAUAUGUAUUAGUUUUAUUGUAUCAUUCGCACACACUUUGUCUACAACUUCAUUAUUCAAUAUAAGAUCGAAUUGGUUAACAAUAAACGGGAGUUAGUAAUAUUUGAUCUAAUUACGAAUGCUAGACUCUCUUAUUUUGCUACGUGUAUUUGUAUAAAUUGGGAAAUGAAACUGAAUUCUUUUGUUGAAAGUUUAUAGAAACUGUCAAAUUUGGAAAGCCGUAUUGUUCAACUGCAAGGGACUGAGUUAGAUAGUGAGCUGUCAUGUUUGCGACAAUUGUUCGAUAUGUUGGCAAGAAACCGAAGCCGAAGAUGAAACCGAUAGAGCUUAAAACGCCACCAGAGCAGACACAGACAAUUACGAGGGUUAUUUUUGAUAUUGUCAAAGAGCAUGGUCCGCUCACCAUUGCGGAUACUUGGGAGCGUGUUAAGGUAACUUCUUGUUGAUCCCUUGUUAUUCCCCUUUGUCAAGUGAUGAGAAUGUAGUUGUUUUUUCGUUAUUUCUCAUUCAGUUUGGAUGUCUGGCUGUUUGGGUUUUGUUUACAAAUACAUUGCCUUAAGUAGCCUUCAGUUCUUUUUUCUUCAAUAGAAUGUAGUUGCCACAAAGUAAGAUAUUUUACCUGUGGAAUUAUCACUUUUGACUUCCCUGUAGGCUGUGCAUAUCGUUAUAUAUACAAGCUGAACUAUAAGGUGGAGAAAUUUUGGUAGCAUUCUAUGAAGUUUCUAAUCUGAUUUUUGUGUUCUCUUGUUCCUUGAUCGUGUUAAGUGCGGGGCUUAUUUUGGGCGUUCCUGUUUUACUUUCUGGAGGUCAUUAUUAUGCUUAUUCUAGCAGUUCAUAAACUUCAAUCUUAAACCAAGAGCGGAUUAUAAACAUUUUCUUGUCUCAUAUCAGAAACUUUGUGACUUUGUUAUAUGUUCUCUUGAUUGUGGAGUAGAAAUUAUGUUGGUUUUGUGGCGCUUCUUCACUUGGUAAUUCUUUUGUGGAGUAAUGUAUUAGCAUAAUAUCUAAUCUCCUUAGUCCUUGCUGCCUUUUUAUUUAAGCUUUAGUGAUUUUUUUAAGCUAAUUAGACUUUACUGAUUUAAUAUGUAGUGGUGGACCUAGGCAUGUCAACGGGUCGGGUUUGGAUCGGAUCAACUUAAAUCCAUAUCCAUAUCCAUUUAUUUUAUCAAAUUCGGAUUCGGAUCGGAUCGGGACCGGACUUUUUACAGACCAAUCCAUAUCCAGAUCCAUUAGGAACACGGAUCACGGAUCGGAUAUUCAAAUCCAUUUAAUUUUUUUUUGAUUUUUUUUCACUUAGAUUUAAAAGUAUUUUAAAAAUUUGUUCGAUUCUUCGAGUUCAGGAAAGACAAGAUUAAACAAGACACCAUGAUAUAAGUAGCAUGAUACAUUUUCAUUCUAUAAAAAAACCACAAAUUAUGUUAGAAUUUUUUUUACAUAAAACGAAAUAAUUUCGGGAUACUAGUACUAACUCUAACUUUACAACUCAUACAUGCUAACUAAAUAAAUGAUUAAUCAAACACGGUUACAAUCAAGGACUCGCAUAAAUGGUAUCUAGUGACUACUACAAUUUAAAAAAUUUAUAAUAUACACACACACACACAAAUAUAUAUAUACAUAUAUAUUCCACCGGAUCGGGUUAUUAGCGGAUCAGAUCAACUUAAAUCCAUAUCCGCUCCAUUUAUUAUCGGAUUUUUUUUAUCAGAUCAGAUUUCGGAUUGGAUUUAUUUUUGACGAAUCCAUAUCCACUAAGAAGACCCCGGAUCGGUUCAGAUCGGGCUGGAGCUCCGGUUCAUUGACAAGCCUAGGUGGACCUAAGAAUUGUAUUGGCGGACCUAGGAAUUGUAUUGAGGGGGACUAACUUGUACUUUAAAAAAAUCACGGAUGAAAAAAAAAAACAUUUCAAUACAUUAACAUCAUUUGAAUUUAUUACAUAUAAUAUAAAAAUAAGUCUUACAAUACUCUUAACAUUCUUCUGGUGCCAUAUCUCAUCAUAAUAUCUUUGACGUCAAUUGAAUUCAGUAUAAAAAAAAAAAUUGGGGGGAUGGGGCAUAUUCACACAUUUCUUUUUCGAAUUCGGGGGUUUGUAGCCCUCUCUCGUCCCUUACUAGGUCCUCCCAUGUUAAUACGUAAUGUCAGCUUCACAAUUACAGUUAGUGUUAUUUUCUCUGUAUCAUGAUCUGAGCAAAAUCUCUUUUAUCUCUUUCACACUAUGACGUGCAUCCUUGUAGCCUUUGUUAAAAAAAUUGAAGUAAACAUCUUUGGAUCCUGAAAUCUAUUGUCAGGAUUUUCAGUCGGUCAUGCGUGGUUCGCCUAUUUACCUAAAGGAUGAAUAAGAAUUGAGUGCCAAAAAUAUUAUUACUUUGUCAAUUAUUUUACUUCCCAUCCUCUUACAUGUAAAUAAUAUAUGUGAUUCUAGUACAUGAAUAUCACAUCUAUCCUGUGUGACUCACUUCUUCAUGAUGGCUUUUAUCGUCAGGAAGUUGGUGUACGAGGACUGACAAGUAAGAGGCACAUGAAAAUUGUAUUAAGGUGGAUGAGGGAGAGGCAGAAGCUCAGGCAGAUAUGUAAUCAUGCGGGCCCCCAGAAACAGUUUCUUUAUACAACCUGGUUCACAAAACCAAAUAUUAUGCAGAAAAACGCUGGCAAUGCUUCUCUACGACCAAAACCAUGAAUCUUCAUUAGUGUGUCAGUGAAUAUCUCCUGAUUUGUAAGCUUGUCACCCUGGACUAAAGAGCGGCUCUUUUUGUAAUUAUUCGUUCGCUGUUAGUCUGUUAGAUUGAAGGUCGCGCUAGGAACUCGGAAAGUUAUUAUGUGUUGUUAGCUUUAAUAAUGUUCUCUCAAACUCUUUGUUCUAAAAGUCGGUGAUUAAUCACGAUUAAUCCCUGUUCCGUAACCUGCCGAACUGAUUAAAUCUCCGAUUAAUCACCGAUCAAUCCGAUUAAUCCCCGACCAAUUCAAUUAAUUUCCGAUUAAUCCUUGUUCCGUAACUUCACUGAUUAAGUUCGAUUCCCGCUUUUUACAACACUGCUCAAACUCAACAAUGAUAAUAUAUUCAUUUGUUUCUAUGUGUGGGACUUUUCAAACUAUUAUAUCACCUUCCAGGAAUCCCUUCCUGACUACCCCAUUUUCCAUUCUCUUUUCCCAAUCUACCCAACUUCAUUCAAUUUAUCCCAAAGUACCCACCUUUUGCAUCCACAAUAGUUAAAUAAUAAAUUGGACCCCACUUGUAUGUUGUGCAGCCAAAAUGUGAUGAUGCACACGUUCAUCUUAUAUGUAGGUCACCCGAGUUUAUAAUUUUUAUCAAAUUGAUUCUACAUUUACUUAAUUGUUUAUAAUAAUUAUAAAUUAUUAACUAAUAUUUAUUUGAACAUGUAAAUUAAUGAAAAUCCAAUUUUAAAUUAAUUAGUUAAUAAUUAUAAAUUAUUAACUAAUAUUUAUUUAAACAUGUAAAUUAAUUCUCAAAUAUUACAUGAUAGCAACUUUUAGGCAAGAUUAAACUUGAAAAUUAAAAUACAAUAACAAAAUAAUUUUAAAAUUAUUGUCCAUGUUGUGGGCAACGACGACUGCGUCUUGUGUGACCUUCUUGACCGCAUCUCCCACAAGUUUUAACCCUUUGAGAGUUGUCCAUUUCCGUUCGAAUACGUUGACUUUGACCUCUCUGUCCACGCUUCUUCCUCUUCUUUCUCAGUUCUUCAUCAGCAAUAAGAGUACCAUACAUCUCCCAGUUGUAUGCUAGUGGAAACGUCCAAUACGCUUGAUUUGCCAUUGGAUAAAAUUCGUAUUUCCACAUUUCAUACAAUAUUGUCAGGUUGUGAUAACCUUCAAUGUACAGCUUCCAAUCGAGAUUACAUACCAAACAAGCAGCAACAAUAUGUGACCAAUAUGCAAAAUGUACGUGAGCAUCUUUUUUUGAUUCAAUCACAUUUGUAUGCACAGCUAACGAGUGGGGUCCAUUUAUUGUUUAAAUAUUGUGGAAUAUGCAAAAGGUGGGUACUUUGGGAAAAACUGAGUGGAGUUGGGUAGAUUGGGAAAAGGGAACGAGAAAUGGGGUAGUCAGGGAAAGGAUUCCACCUUCCAGUAAGUUCGGAACUUGUAGUUACUUGAGAAUUAUUAUCUCUUUUCCUGUGCAGCAUAUUACAAUUUAAACUGGUUAAUUUAGAAGAUGAAGAAGAUACAAGCUGUCAGAGGGGGGGGGGGGGGGGGCCCNCAGUAAUACAUUUUCCUCUAUCUGGAUGGGGAAAAAAAAAAGAAGUAAAAUAUAAAGUAACUUGACUAUUGUGUGCCCACGGGCACACCAUAGAAAAUCCCAUAAAGUAAUGAUCCUAUCUUAACAUCUAUCUCCCGGUAAGCCAAACUUGAAUUUCCAAGAGCUCUUGGGAUUCCUGGACAGUUUUGGCUUCUGCAAGCUUUUAAACAGCAGCUACUCUCUGUAUUCUGUCUAGCUCUAAGGUUUUCUUUGAAUCCUUUUGUAACCAUGUCUAACACAUUGUAGUACUCUUUCCAACACCACAAAGGGAAGUAAACAUUUUCUGCUGCAGGGAUGCAGCAAAUGUGCUGAACUAUUCACUGCAACUUCUGUAGUACCCCUGAUUUCUGUUUCCUAGUUAGUGUGCCGCGUAAAGAUAGAAAUUUAAGCAAAGAACUUGCUGUCUAAGCAAAUUUUUGUUAGCCCCGGUGGAUGACUGACUCUGGUCAGCCCCUGACAAUAUAGCAAGUUCCAACUCAUCCAAACACCUUAAAAUACAUAGUACUAUGUUACAGUACAAAGUAAAAAAAACAGUGGUCUGAGGGAGUAGUUGUCAUGGUUAUAUACUUAUGUUGUGUUUGGUUGGGGUGAAUGAUUCCAGAAGGAAUGGAAUGAAAAAUGAACUAUAUUAUGGACAAUUGUUAACAAAUUUCAUUCCUUCCUCCAUUCCAUUCCUUAGAUUAUGUGCUAGAGAUCAUACCUUCAAUUUGAGAUGGAAUGCUCCAUUCUCUCCUACCCCCAAUUUCUUCUCAAAUCUCAUCAUAGCAAUUUUGCCUCACUUACAUUUAUUCCAAAACUUCCCUCCUAUCUCUAUUAGUUCCAAAUAAUUUUACUCAUUCCAUUCUAUUCCAUUCACCGCAACCAAACACAACAUUAUACUUCAAUUGAGGGAGUAGUUGUCAUGGUUAUAUACUUAUACUUCAAUUUUAAGUUUUAAUUACCCAAGUACUCCCUAGCUGGUUUCUGCAUUUAGAUUUCCAUGCUUGAAGAAUGUUGGUUGUUAAAAAGCCUGCAAGGACGUGAAAAUGAGAUUCUGACAGGAUACAUGGUAUAAUUACAUAAAUUUAUACUCAAAAAAAUUAAUAUUACCAGCAUAUUAGUUUGACUAUUAUUAAAUUACCAAAAAUAAAAAAUAAAAAAUUCGGAGCUACACUAUUUCAUUAUUUUGCAAUAAUAUAAUAAAAUUUUAAUAUAUUUAAAAAAAUGAAGCAAGCGACAAAAAGGCAGAAUAUAAACGGUAAGCCAAACCAACCUUCACCAAUCUUUUCCAUUUCAUUUCUCGAUUCAUCCCCAACACUCACACACACAGUGUGUGUGACAAAUUACCCAAUUCACAAUUCAAAACCCUAGGUUUCAUCCCCAAAUCAUGUGGAGAAGAGUUUCUACGCAUCUCCGACCUCUCGCCGUCUCUCGAUCCGCGCAGCGGCCUAAUCGCUCCAUCGCUCCUGGCGUUUCCUCCUCUACGCCGUCGUUUCGCCCCGCCGCUUCUCUUUUCUCUCGCUCUUUCACCGCUCCCGCAGGUAAUCUCUCUACAUCUGCUCGUCUCUGUGCAUCUGUUUAUGUAUGUGUGUGUAUAUGACUUUUUAUGUUUAGGAGGCGGUGUUUUGAGCAAGAGAGUUGAAGAUGUAAUGCCGAUUGCUACUGGUCAUGAACGUGAGGAGCUUGAAGCUCAGCUUCAAGUCAGUAAUUUCGCUCGUUUUUCUUUACAAUUCUGUUAUUAUUUACUCGGCCAUUUUGGAAAUUGUAAGCAAAUCUUUUAUCUUUUUUGCGGUUAGGGACGGGAUAUUCUCGAUAUUAACUAUCAUGAAGGUCCUUUUGGCACAAAGGUUAGUGUUUCUGAUUUUCUUGUCUAUAACUUACGAGUAAUAAUUAUUGAUUACUGUACUUGGUUUUUAUUAUAUCAGAGAUAUCGUGUUGUUUUGUUUAGCUCAGGGUAAAUUGUUAUCUGUUGUUAGGUAUCUUGUUUGUGUUUUAAAUUGCUAAGGUGCUCCUAAAAGUUUUAAUAUUUUUGUAUCAAAGUGCUGAUAUGUACGAAAAGUUACUGCUUGCACUAGAUGUAUGGGUAUGUAUGAUUAGACUUUCAUGAUAAUGUAUGUGAGAAAACACAGACUUAGCUGAUGAAAUGAGAUAUACCUGUAUAUGGUGAGUUAGUUAUGUGUAUAGCGGAACACUUAUAUGAACUUGUGAGAUUUGCUUGCUUACAGUUUUGUGUAGUUUUAGGAGUGUGGUCACUAAGCACCUUGUUUAUAGGUUUAUCAUGUCGUAGCAACUUUUCCGGCAUGCUUAUCUCGAUGAGAAGAAUGCCUGCUAGUAGAGGUUUACAAGAAUCGUAAAAGUGUAACUGACUGCUUGUGUGUGUGUGUGUGGGUGGGUGGGACUAAUGUUGUUGGGUAAGAAGGCGGCCCACCUAAAACCAUUUCUGUUGUGACCUAUACUUGUUAAUUCCGACUUAUUUCCAGCCACUGACUUCAGCUGACAUAGUUGUCUUCUCUAUUAUUUUAUACGUGGAAGUAAACGAUCCAUCACCGUUCUAUAUGUUCAGUGAGUGGUAGGGGUGGAAAUAAAUGACCGGUGCGAGUACUUAUGUUUUCAUAUGUAUAUUCUGUAGAUGGACACGUGAUUGUGUGUAUUAAGUAAUGCCGCUCAGACUCUACUCGUGAACAAAAUUAUGUGAAUGUGUAUAUAUAGUUAUUAUGGACAAUUGUUAACAAAUUUCAUUCCUUCCUCCAUUCCAUUCCUUAGAUUAUGUGCUAGAGAUCAUACCUUCAAUUUGAGAUGGAAUGCUCCAUUCUCUCCUACCCCCAAUUUCUUCUCAAAUCUCAUCAUAGCAAUUUUGCCUCACUUACAUUUAUUCCAAAACUUCCCUCCUAUCUCUAUUAGUUCCAAAUAAUUUUACUCAUUCCAUUCUAUUCCAUUCACCGCAACCAAACACAACAUUAUACUUCAAUUGAGGGAGUAGUUGUCAUGGUUAUAUACUUAUACUUCAAUUUUAAGUUUUAAUUACCCAAGUACUCCCUAGCUGGUUUCUGCAUUUAGAUUUCCAUGCUUGAAGAAUGUUGGUUGUUAAAAAGCCUGCAAGGACGUGAAAAUGAGAUUCUGACAGGAUACAUGGUAUAAUUACAUAAAUUUAUACUCAAAAAAAUUAAUAUUACCAGCAUAUUAGUUUGACUAUUAUUAAAUUACCAAAAAUAAAAAAUAAAAAAUUCGGAGCUACACUAUUUCAUUAUUUUGCAAUAAUAUAAUAAAAUUUUAAUAUAUUUAAAAAAAUGAAGCAAGCGACAAAAAGGCAGAAUAUAAACGGUAAGCCAAACCAACCUUCACCAAUCUUUUCCAUUUCAUUUCUCGAUUCAUCCCCAACACUCACACACACAGUGUGUGUGACAAAUUACCCAAUUCACAAUUCAAAACCCUAGGUUUCAUCCCCAAAUCAUGUGGAGAAGAGUUUCUACGCAUCUCCGACCUCUCGCCGUCUCUCGAUCCGCGCAGCGGCCUAAUCGCUCCAUCGCUCCUGGCGUUUCCUCCUCUACGCCGUCGUUUCGCCCCGCCGCUUCUCUUUUCUCUCGCUCUUUCACCGCUCCCGCAGG
rnacentral:lncRNA from 1 species